rnacentral:tRNA from 1 species
GCUAGUGUAGCUUAAUGUAAAGUAUGGCACUGAAGAUGCUAAGAUGAAAAAUAGAAAUUUUCCACAGGCA